GACGAACGCUGGCGGCGUGCCUAAUACAUGCAAGUAGAACGCUGAAGAGAGGAGUUUGCUCUUCUUGGAAGAGUUGCGAACGGGUGAGUAACGCGUAGGUAACCUGCCUUGUAGCGGGGGAUAACUAUUGGAAACGAUAGCUAAUACCGCAUAACAAUGGGUGACCCAUGUCAUUCAUUUGAAAGGGGCAACUGCUCCACUACAAGAUGGACCUGCGUUGUAUUAGCUAGUAGGUGAGGUAACGGCUCACCUAGGCGACGAUACAUAGCCGACCUGAGAGGGUGAUCGGCCACACUGGGACUGAGACACGGCCCAGACUCCUACGGGAGGCAGCAGUAGGGAAUCUUCGGCAAUGGGGGCAACCCUGACCGAGCAACGCCGCGUGAGUGAAGAAGGUUUUCGGAUCGUAAAGCUCUGUUGUAAGUCAAGAACGAGUGUGAGAGUGGAAAGUUCACACUGUGACGGUAGCUUACCAGAAAGGGACGGCUAACUACGUGCCAGCAGCCGCGGUAAUACGUAGGUCCCGAGCGUUGUCCGGAUUUAUUGGGCGUAAAGCGAGCGCAGGCGGUUUGAUAAGUCUGAAGUUAAAGGCUGUGGCUCAACCAUAGUUCGCUUUGGAAACUGUCAAACUUGAGUGCAGAAGGGGAGAGUGGAAUUCCAUGUGUAGCGGUGAAAUGCGUAGAUAUAUGGAGGAACACCGGGUGGCGAAAGCGGCUCUCUGGUCUGUAACUGACGCUGGGGCUCGAAAGCGUGGGGAGCGAACAGG
rnacentral:rRNA from 1 species